rnacentral:rRNA from 1 species
CCUACGGGAGACAGCAGUAGGGAAUGUUCGGCAAUGGGGGGAACCCUGACCGAGCAACGCCGCGUGAACGAAGAAGUUAUUCGUAAUGUAAAGUUCUUUUAACAGGGAAGAAAGAGAAAUUUGACGGUACCUGAAGAAUAAGCUCCGGCUAACUACGUGCCAGCAGCCGCGGUAAUACGUAGGGAGCGAGCGUUAUCCGGAAUUAUUGGGCGUAAAGGGUGCGUAGAUGGCAUAGUAAGUCUUGUGUAAAAAUGCUGGGCUCCACCCAGUAGGGCAAAAGAUACUGCAAAGCUAGAGUAUGCCAGAGGCAAGUCGAACUACAUGUGUAGCGGUCAAAUGCGUACCUAUAUGU